GGUGGCUCAGUGGUAGGGUGCUUGCCUUGCAUGCAUGAGGCCCUGGGUUUGAUUCCCCAGCACCA
rfam:Dipodomys ordii contig_55504, whole genome shotgun sequence.